rnacentral:rRNA from 1 species
GGAAGGAUCAUUAACGAAUUGUAAUGGGGGCUUGAUGCUGGCAAGUUAUCUUGAAAUGUGCUCGCUUCCAACAAUUUUAUCUUAAACACCUGUGCACCCUUUGAAUGGGGGGAUUCCAAGUGGAUUUUUCUUGGAAUUCUCUCUUCUUCACAUACACCGAUUACAAUGUUGAACGUGCUCGUGCCGAUAAGGCCUUAAUAAAAAUACAACUUUUAACAACGGAUCUCUUGGCUCUUGCAUCGAUGAAGAACGCAGCGAAAUGCGAUAAGUAAUGUGAAUUGCAGAAUUCAGUGAAUCAUCGAAUCUUUGAACGCACCUUGCGCUCCCUGGUAUUCCGGGGAGCACGCCUGUUCGAGUGUCGUGAAAUUCUCAAGCUGGACCACUUUUGUUUAGAAAGUGGGCCUUAGUUUGGUUAUUGGGCUUUGCCAUUCCUGCCAUUGGAAUUGGCUGGCCUUAAAAGCAUUAGCUGAUCCUCAUGUGGCAAUUGGUUCUACUCAGCGUGAUAAUAAUAAUCUGACCGCCGAGGACAUCUCUCGAGGUGGCCAAUUCUCGUUUGGGUUGCUUUCUAAUCUGGUUUUACGGAUUUUCACAAAUCUGUUCCACUUUUCAAUUUUGACCUCGAAUCAGGUGGGACUACCCGCUGAACUUAAGCAUAUCAAUAAGCGGAGGAAAAGAAACUAACAAGGAUUCCCCUAGUAACGGCGAGUGAAGCGGGAAAAGCUCAAAUUUAAAAUCUGGCAGUCUUUGAUUGUCCGAGUUGUAAUCUAGAGAAGUGUUUUCCGCGUUGGACUGUGUACAAGUUUCCUGGAUACGGAACAUCAUAGAGGGUGAGAAUCCCGUCCUUGACACAGACUGCCAGUGCUUUGUGAUGCGCUCUCGACGAGUCGAGUUGUUUGGGAUUGCAGCUCAAAAUGGGAGGUAAAUUCCUUCUAAAGCUAAAUAUUGGCAAGAGACCGAUAGCGAACAAGUACCGUGAGG